UAACAUAGAAGUAAUAAAUUACAUUUAGUUUCGACCUAAAAUUAAAGAAUAAAUCUUCAUGUUUU
rnacentral:tRNA from 1 species